UCUUCAGUCUCUCUUCUACCUCCCUCUCUUUAGAAGCUGUAUCCACUGGUUUGGCUCCUCCAAAGAUGGAGGCUGAUCGACUGGAUGGGGCUGAAGGUGCGUUGCCCUGGUUUUCCUCUUUCGGAACGCUGCGAGGCUUCAGAUUCAGCUUGGGCCUUGGAGGAGGACCUAAGCAAGUCAUCAGUCUCGUCUGCCCAGCUGGUAGGCUUGGUGGGCGCAUAACUUGGGGCUGAGCCGCCACUGCUGUCCUCUGCCAAGAAGUCGGUUAGGGGUCACGAUGGCUACGAUUCACUUGGCAAAAGUUAGGAAACACCCUAGACAGGUUGCCAGUUCAUCACAGGGCAAACACACACAAGAAAUCUGGAACUCCUAGAGGAAACCCAUGCAGACUCGGGGAGCAAAUGCAAACUCCACCCAGAAAGGACCUGUACUGCUCCACAUAGGAAAUGAACACAGGACCUUUUUGCUGUGAGGUGCUACCCACCGAACCACUGUGGUGCCCUAUACUGUACAUUAUAUUGUAUACAUUAUAUAGUCUACAUUUAAAAGCUAAUGUCAGACUACACAUUAACCCUAGUGGAUUUUUAGAAACAUAUAGUUUGGCACAAUAAAUGAGUUCAUAUAUAGUAAAGA